rnacentral:rRNA from 1 species
GACGAACGCUGGCGGCGUGCUUAACACAUGCAAGUCGAACGGAAAGGCCCUGCUUUUGUGGGGUGCUCGAGUGGCGAACGGGUGAGUAACACGUGAGUAACCUGCCCUUGACUUUGGGAUAACUUCAGGAAACUGGGGCUAAUACCGGAUAGGAGCUCCUGCUGCAUGGUGGGGGUUGGAAAGUUUCGGCGGUUGGGGAUGGACUCGCGGCUUAUCAGCUUGUUGGUGGGGUAGUGGCUUACCAAGGCUUUGACGGGUAGCCGGCCUGAGAGGGUGACCGGCCACAUUGGGACUGAGAUACCGCCCAGACUCCUACGGGAGGCAGAAGUGGGGAAUAUUGCACAAUGGGCGGAAGCCUGAUGCAGCAACGCCGCGUGCGGGAUGACGGCCUUCGGGUUGUAAACCGCUUGCGCCUGUGACGAAGCGUGAGUGACGGUAAUGGGUAAAGAAGCACCGGCUAACUACGUG